rnacentral:misc_RNA from 2 species
CCCAACUAUCCCUAUUAAUCAUUACGUCGAUCCUAGAAACCAACAAAAUAGAAUCAAACGUCCUAUUUCAUUAUUCCAUGCUAAUGUAUUCAAAAGCGUGCGCCUGCUUUAAACACUCUAAUUUUUUCAAAGUAACAGUCCUGAUUCCCCAUGACACCAAAUUAAUGACAAUCGCGGUUUUUCAGAAGAUAGGAACCAAUAAUGCCAGUGCGUACCAAUUGGCACGACCGACAAUUUGAUCCCGAAAUUCAACUACGAGCUUUUUAACUGCAACAACUUUAAUAUACGCUAUUGGAGCUGGAAUUACCGCGGCUGCUGGCACCAGACUUGCCCUCCAA